UAAAGGUGCUGAUACAGGUAGGGAAGAGGACCAGGCUAUCCUGGUAUAAGGCACUUCUAUUCUGAUAUAACAGCAUCCACGCUAGGGGUACUGGUGGAGCUAUACUGGUAAUAAUCACACCCCUGAUGAACAUGACCGCACUUGUACAGACACUGGGAAGAACAAACCUACACGGUUAAUUCCAGCACAGGAACACAGGACUGGCAGGGACGUCCUGGGCCACCAAGCCCAGUCCAAGCAAUUGCACGCCACUCCUUCCGAUAACCCCAUUUGUGAAUUUAUCAAGCGGAAAUCUGAGCAUGCAGCCCUUUGCAGCGAGAUUCCAACACCAGAAGGGACCUCUGUGAUAAUCUAACCUGACCUUCUGUGUAACACAGGCCAGAGAACUACCCUCCACAAAUUCCUAAAGCAGAAGCUUUUAGAAGAAAACAUCCAAUUUUGCUUUUAAAAUGGCCAGUGAGGGAAAAGCCACCACAACUCUUGGACUCUACCUGGACAAUCACAGACUGUGGCAGCCCAUCCAGCUGUGUCCAUUCCCCAUCGCCUGGCCCAUAACAUCUGGAUUGCUCCAGAAUGCUCACUUCCUGUUGGCGCCCAGAUGAUGAAAGCUGGAGAGCCCCAGGAGUCAGACAGCCCAGGACUGGAUAGAGAGCUAAGGCCCAUGCCCAGGGCCCCGGCACCUGGAGUUGCACGCCCUCUCCAGUUGAUCCACAUCCUCUUUAAAUUUUGGACACCAGAACUGGACACUAUGCCAGCAACGGUCACACCAGUGCCAAGGGAACAUAACCUCCCUCCUGCUGAUUAUCCGCCAGGACCCCCAAAGACCUUUCCAGAUCACUGCUACCCAGGAUCAGGCCUUGAGGAAAUUCAGAACCCUGGUAAAUAAUUUACCUGGCUUCAUUCUUAUUUGUACUGAUAGAGUGAGGGGCUGGCGGGUUUAAAAAGAUGCAGCUGCUGCUGUUCUUUGGGGGCAAUAAAAAUUAAU